UUUCGGCGGCUGAGAGCCUCAUUGCUGGAGAAUUCCCGGUGCAGCAGGGUUAUAUAAUCUGACUCAGAAACUGGGCCUCAACCCAGCGAGGUCAACAUGUUCUUUAUUUAAUUAGUCUUUUAGGCAUUUAAAAGCACACGCAUAUUUAAAAGAAAAGGUCUAUUAUAAAGGAGAUGUAAAGUCAACUGGAAUACUUAAUCAUCAAAAUUCAAUUUUAUUCUUCUUCCUCUCUCCCUUUGUUUUAGGGGGAAAUAGGUUUUGUGCACGAUUUGGGGGUGAGCAAUAGGACGGGGUAGAAAUGACCACAAGGAUUUGUUGACUUGUUUUCAAGGAGAUGGGGAACUGCAGUCUUAGCGGGUGGCUGCGCCCAGGUAAGGGUGAAAUACAGAAAGCGUUGGGCCACCUACCAGCAAAAGUUUCCACAGGGCGCGGGCCACUCCUUAGCUAGCCGGGGCCGCGCCUCCAGGACCUUAGUCCCGAAAAUGAACGCCGCAGGGUCGACUGGUCGGGGCGCACGAAGCAUCAGCUCGGCCUUGUGGCCGGACCGGGUGUCUCGGAAGGCGGGCUGAUCCCAGGCCAGUCCGCGGGAUUAGGAGUGGUCACCCUAAACCAGGAGAGGGCAGGGUGGGAGUGUGCGCGGCGUCGCGAUGCAGACUCAUCCGGAGGUCUCAGCACCCGAAAAUGUGGAGGGUCUUCAGAGAGAAAAGAAGCCUUAGGGGUACAGACUGCAAGUUAUGAAGUCUCCACCAAGGGGGGAAAAGUAGCAUCUGAACUGUCGCUGUGAAGAAAUUGUUUGCAGGGUAGGCUGAAGACAAGAAGCAUCUCUUGGCUCUAAUCAGCUACAUCAGCUAAUGACACAGAUUGUAUCAUUUGAGAGACCUGGGAGAACAAGGGGAUGUCACAGAAGACAGCCAUGGGAAUGGAAGAUGAUUUAAAAUAAGCAAUCGGGCUGAAAGAGAAUAUGUUGGUUAUAAAAUAAGUGCAGGAUUAAAAGAGAUGAAUGGGGAAUCAAUUCUUACGGCUCUCUCUUUUGGGUGAUAUUCACUUUUUUUUUUUUCCUUCUGCUCUCACUUGGCAACCUUCAGUUUCUAAAUACGCAUUUUGUUUGUAAUUUUCCAUUAAAAUACUGAUUCAAUUGAAGAGUAUGAUACAGCCAAUGCUUUCAAGAUUUGUAAGGCUGAAGAUGGGCAAGUGCAUUGCUCACAGGAAAGACACAGUGUAUUUAUCUGCAGACACAAAUGUAUCCACCCAAAC
rnacentral:lncRNA from 1 species